CUUGGCGACCAUGGAGGAGGGGGUACACCCGUUCCCUUUCCGAACACGGCAGUUAAGCCCUCCAUCGCCGAUGAUACUGCUGGGGAGCCAGUGGGAAAGUAGGUCGUUGCCAAGG
rnacentral:rRNA from 1 species